rnacentral:rRNA from 1 species
UACGAAGGGGGCUAGCGUUGUUCGGAAUUACUGGGCGUAAAGCGCGCGCAGGCGGUCUUCCAAGUCAGUGGUGAAAGCCUGGAGCUCAACUCCAGAACUGCCUUCGAUACUGGCGAUCUCGAGUCCGGAAGAGGUGAGUGGAACUCCUAGUGUAGAGGUGGAAUUCGUAGAUAUUAGGAAGAACACCAGUGGCGAAGGCGACUCACUGGUCCGGUACUGACGCUGAGGUGCGAAAGCGUGGGGAGCAAACAGG